AUUGAACGCUAGCGGGGUGCCUUACACAUGCAAGUCGGACGGAGUUGCGAACGGGGUUGUAAUGUAGCGGAACGUGCGCAGGAGCCGUGGAUAACUACGCGAAAUCGUUACUAAUACCGCUUAUUAUUGGAUCGGCCGAUAUGGGAUUAGCGAGUUGGUGGGGUAACGGCGCACCAAGGCGACGAGCCUUAGCUGGUUUGAGAGGAUGACCAGCCACCCUGGAACUGAUACACGGCCCAGACUCCUACGGGAGGCAGCAGUGGGGAAUUUUGGACAAUGGGGGAAACCCUGAUGCAGCCAUCCCGCGUGUACGAUGAAGGCCUUCGGGUUGUAAAGCACUUUCGGCAGGAAAGCGGUACCUGCAGAAUAAGCACCGGCUAACUACGUGCCAGCCGCCGCGGUAAUUC
rnacentral:rRNA from 1 species